rnacentral:lncRNA from 1 species
ACUAAAAUGGAACAUCAAUCCCUGUUCCCGUCGCAGGGCUGUCCCCGGCAGCCUUGCUGCCUUUUACUUGUCUCUGAGCCCAGCGAGCGUGGCCUUUUGUCUAUCUUUGCGAGGCUCUGGCCUCUCUUCCACGGGGCUUUCAGCCCAGCUGUGGCCUAGGAUGGAAGGCAGGAGACAAGGCUGCCCGUCCCACCUGCUCUUCUCCCAGCGCCUGGAGGCUCCAGAGUUCCACGCCCUCCCCUGGUGCCCCAGACUCCUGAGUCGCUCCGUCACUGUGAAGCACCAGGUGCCUGAACCCCAGAGGGAAGCCCAGGAAGCCUCCACAGGGGCGGUAGAAUG